UUAAAAUAAAAUGGAACAUUAAUGACAUGAAUGACUAUGCAUGGUGAGCUAAACUGAAGAAUACAUGAAGGAAUUGUAAUGAAUCUAGUAGUAUUCCAACAAAGAAAACACAACAAUUAUCAUUUCUCUUAAAUUGGAUCACAUGACUUUCAUCUAUGCAUUUCACAUGCUGAUCAAAGGUCAGUACAUACCUGAAAAGCAAAAUAAUAGAAGAAGUGAGAACAACAACAGUUAGCAGUAGCAGUUAGCUCAGAUUUGACCAACCAAAUAAUGAACAACCCAGGAUAAAUCAAUGGAACAGUAGAGGAUCUUCAGAAAAUUGAUUCCAAACCAAGCUUAAACAAUUUUUCUACUCAGAUGUCCAAGUUCAGCAGUUUUCCAGAAACUCUUAAAUUAUUAGAAGAUUCAAAAAGCCAAAUCAAGCAACCAAAACCAAUUCAAACUUUCAAAAUGCCAUGUUAGGUCCGUUUCUACCCCGGCGAAUCAAAAAUUGGUUCAUAAGUUGAAAACCCUCAAAGUUACAGAGGAAAAUUUUAAUGGAACAGUAUUUUUAUCCAAUUUUCAGCCGUCUGUGAUUUUUCUAAUUUUUUU
rnacentral:lncRNA from 1 species